AUAAAGUGUUAUCUUUUCCACCAGGUGGCAUAAAGUGUUAUCUUUUCCACCAGGUGGCAUAAAGUGUUAUCUUUUCCACCAGGUGGCAUAAAGUGUUAUCUUUUCCACCAGGUGGCAUAAAGUGUUAUCUUUUCCACCAGGGGGCAUAAAGUGUUAUCUUUUCCACCAGGUGGCAUAAAGUGUUAUCUUUUCCACCAGGGGGCAUAAAGUGUUAUCUUUUCCACCAGGUGGCAUAAAGUGUUAUCUUUUCCACCAGGUGGCAUAAAGUGUUAUCUUUUCCACCAGGGGGCAUAAAGUGUUAUCUUUUCCACCAGGUGGCAUAAAGUGUUAUCUUUUCCACCAGGUGGCAUAAAGUGUUAUCUUUUCCACCAGGUGGCAUAAAGUGUUAUCUUUUCCACCAGGUGGCAUAAAGUGUUAUCUUUUCCACCAGGGGGCAUAAAGUGUUAUAUUUUCCACCAGGUGGCAUAAAGUGUUAUCUUUUCCACCAGGGGGCAUAAAGUGUUAUCUUUUCCACCAGGUGGCAUAAAGUGUUAUCUUUUCCACCAGGGGGCAUAAAGUGUUAUCUUUUCCACCAGGGGGCAUAAAGUGUUAUCUUUUCCACCAGGUGGCAUAAAGUGUUAUCUUUUCCACCAGGUGGCAUAAAGUGUUAUCUUUUCCACCAGGGGGCAUAAAGUGUUAUCUUUUCCACCAGGUGGCAUAAAGUGUUAUCUUUUCCACCAGGUGGCAUAAAGUGUUAUCUUUUCCACCAGGGGGCAUAAAGUGUUAUCUUUUCCACCAGGUGGCAUAAAGUGUUAUCUUUUCCACCAGGUGGCAUAAAGUGUUAUCUUUUCCACCAGGGGGCAUAAAGUGUUAUCUUUUCCACCAGGUGGCAUAAAGUGUUAUCUUUUCCACCAGGGGGCAUAAAGUGUUAUCUUUUCCACCAGGUGGCAUAAAGUGUUAUCUUUUCCACCAGGUGGCAUAAAGUGUUAUCUUUUCCACCAGGGGGCAUAAAGUGUUAUCUUUUCCACCAGGUGGCAUAAAGUGUUAUCUUUUCCACCAGGUGGCAUAAAGUGUUAUCUUUUCCACCAGGUGGCAUAAAGUGUUAUCUUUUCCACCAGGUGGCAUAAAGUGUUAUCUUUUCCACCAGGUGGCAUAAAGUGUUAUCUUUUCCACCAGGUGGCAUAAAGUGUUAUCUUUUCCACCAGGUGGCAUAAAGUGUUGUCUUUUCCACCAGGUGGCAUAAAGUGUUAUCUUUUCCACCAGGUGGCAUAAAGUGUUAUCUUUUCCACCAGGUGGCAUAAAGUGUUGUCUUUUCCACCAGGUGGCAUAAAGUGUUAUCUUUUCCACCAGGUGGCAUAAAGUGUUAUCUUUUCCACCAGGUGGCAUAAAGUGUUGUCUUUUCCACCAGGUGGCAUAAAGUGUUAUCUUU